rnacentral:rRNA from 1 species
GCCAUGCAGUCGAGCGAGUGACUCGGAGAGAAGUUUUCGGAUGGAUCGAAGAGUCAUCUUAGCGGCGGACGGGUGAGUAACGCGUGAGAAACCUGCCUUUCACAAAGGGAUAGCCUCGGGAAACUGGGAUUAAUACCUUAUGAAACUGAAUUACCGCAUGGUAGAUCAGUCAAAGCGAAUAAGCGGUGAAAGAUGGUCUCGCGUCCUAUUAGCUAGUUGGUGAGGUAACGGCUCACCAAGGCUUCGAUAGGUAGCCGGCCCGAGAGGGUGAACGGCCACACUGGAACUGAGACACGGUCCAGACUCCUACGGGAGGCAGCAGUGGGGAAUAUUGCACAAUGGAGGAAACUCUGAUGCAGCGACGCCGCGUGAAUGAUGAAGGCCUUCGGGUUGUAAAGUUCUGUCCUUGGGGAAGAUAAUGACGGUACCCAAGGAGGAAGCCCCGGCUAACUACGUGCCAGCAGCCGCGGUAAUACGUAGGGGGCGAGCGUUGGUCCGGG